rnacentral:rRNA from 1 species
UGGCGGCGUGCCUAAUACAUGCAAGUCGAGCGGUAACAUUUCUAGCUUGCUAGAAGAUGACGAGCGGCGGACGGGUGAGUAACGCGUAGAAAUCUACCUAGUAGUGGGGGAUAGCCCAGAGAAAUUUGGAUUAAUACCGCAUACGCCCUACGGGGGAAAGCGGGGGAUCUUCGGACCUCGUGCUAUUAGAUGAGUCUGCGUCGGAUUAGCUUGUUGGUGAGGUAAUGGCUCACCAAGGCGACGAUCCGUAGCUGGUCUGAGAGGAUGACCAGCCACACUGGAACUGAGACACGGUCCAGACUCCUACGGGAGGCAGCAGUGGGGAAUAUUGCACAAUGGGCGCAAGCCUGAUGCAGCCAUGCCGCGUGUGUGAAGAAGGCCUUAGGGUUGUAAAGCACUUUCAGCAGUGAGGAAAGGGGUGUCGUUAAUAGCGCCAUCCUGUGACGUUAACUGCAGAAGAAGGACCGGCUAACUCCUUG